rnacentral:rRNA from 1 species
GACGGACGCUGCGGCGUGCCUAACACAUGCAAGUCGAGCGAAUGAAGUUCCCUCGGGAACGGAUUUAGCGGCGGACGGGUGAGUAACACGUGGGCAACCUGCCUCAUAGAGGGGAAUAGCCUUCCGAAAGGGAGAUUAAUACCGCAUAAGAUUGUAGUACCGCAUGGUACAGCAAUUAAAGGAGCAAUCCGCUAUGAGAUGGGCCCGCGGCGCAUUAGCUAGUUGGUGAGGUAACGGCUCACCAAGGCGACGAUGCGUAGCCGACCUGAGAGGGUGAUCGGCCACAUUGGGACUGAGACACGGCCCAGACUCCUACGGGAGGCAGCAGUGGGGAAUAUUGCACAAUGGGGGAAACCCUGAUGCAGCAACGCCGCGUGAGUGAUGACGGCCUUCGGGUUGUAAAGCUCUGUCUUCAGGGACGAUAAUGACGGUACCUGAGGAGGAAGCCACGGCUAACUACGUGCCAGCAGCCGCGGUAAUAC